AGGCCGCGACCUCCCGGCGGGCUGCGCAGUGCCGGCUGUGCACCUCCCUCUGCUCCUCUCCGGCCGUGUUCUGGUUUCAGUUAAUGAACACGCUCAAGGCAAAGCCCACCUGCUUCCUCUUCAGGAAAGAACCUCAGAGUCUGAACCUUGAGAAAUUGUGACGGAGUGGCAACACAGAAGGAUUUAGACAACAUCUCACACAAGUUAUUUUUAACCUGGAUGUGUUCUGCAGUUUGUUUCCCAUACAGCACUGAAACUGGCACAGCUGAGGGGCUGGCGGCUUCGAAAAAAAUCACAGCUCCAUUGUGCUCCAAAGUCAUGUUAAGUGAUUCAGAUGGAAAUAAAACCCCACUAGGAACAGGAGACUCCAAGAGGAAUGUCAAGGCCAGUGGAUCAGGGAUGCUAAUCCCCAGCGGUAGCACAUCCUGGGGAUGCUGGAUUCUGUUGCAGCUCUGGUGUUAGAGUUUUCCCCCCAUUUUGUGGGUCCAUGGAAGGCAGGAGUUGCUGCUGGUGCUCAGGGUGUUCUGGUGAGUGUCCCCAAGCACCCUGCUGCCCUCAGCUUCGCUGGCACCACGGGAAUGGCAUGGAUUGCCUGGGGGCAGCAGGGUGGCAGGAAAACCCUCCUGUGAAACCUGAGGAACAGGGAUCACUCCAGACUUCCAGGAGCUGGCCUGGCAGAGGAAGGGGCAGGGGCACCUACACUGCCUUGGCCCCCUCCCUGGGCAGAGAUGGGAGGCAGAGGACACCUGGUAUCCUGGCAUAGCAGCAGAGCUUGCAGUGCUUGAGGUGGUGUUGCCAUCACUGGACAUCUGGUACAAACACUCCUCAAAAAUAGAUGAUUUCCUUCCAUCUCAAAGAAAGCAGCAUUGGAAAGAGACUCAGUUGCAGCCCAUGUGGGGAAGGGUCCCUGUUGCAGGGAGGGGGUCACUGGCAGCUUCCUGCUGGGAGAUGGUUACACAUCCCAGAGUGUGAUUCUGGGACAAGCCAUGAGUCCCAGGCAGGACCCAAAGUGUCAGUCCUGCAAAAUGCCUGAGCGCCUGGGCAGGUGCUGUGCCUGUCAGCCCCCACGAGCAGAAACACCAGCACUUUGCCAUCAAUGGCUGGUAUAGCAAAAGUGAAGCCUCCUGUCCCGCCCUUAGAGCUGCUCCCAUGCUGAGGGCUCAAGCUGUGAUCAAUCCUCACCUGCCUUUUCCAGUACUGGUUUUACCAUGCUUGGUCUUGGCAUCUUCCUUAUGGGAAGCUUUCAGUAGAAAUGUGUGUCAAUAGGACUAAAACCAGCAUGAGCACCACUACAGUUCAGUCUGAUAAUAAAACAUGAGUCACUGUUAUUCAACCACUCACUAAUGCACGUUUUGCAAGAAAAAAAAAAAAAAAAUCUCUUCUAGGAAUCAUCACCACACAAAUUUGAGGUGUGGUUUUUGUUGUUGGUUUGGGUUUUUUUGGUUGUUUGUUUCUUUGUUGUUGUUUCAUUUUAAUAAAGGAGCAUUUAAAAUGUUUACAAAA